rnacentral:rRNA from 1 species
UACGGAGGGUGCAAGCGUUAUCCGGAUUCACUGGGUUUAAAGGGUGCGUAGGUGGGCAGUUAAGUCAGUGGUGAAAUCUCCGGGCUCAACCCGGAAACUGCCAUUGAUACUAUCUGUCUUGAAUAUCGUGGAGGUAAGCGGAAUAUGUCAAUGUAGCGGUGAAAUGCUUAGAUAUGACAUAGAACACCAAUUGCGAAGGCAGCUUACUACCCGAAUAUUGACACUGAGGCACGAAAGCGUGGGGAGCGAACAGG